rnacentral:rRNA from 1 species
CCUACGGGAGGCAGCAGUGAGGAAUAUUGGUCAAUGGGCGGAAGCCUGAACCAGCCAAGUAGCGUGCAGGAUGACGGCCCUACGGGUUGUAAACUGCUUUUAUACGGGAAUAACGCGCCUUACGUGUAGGGCUUUGCAUGUACCGUAUGAAUAAGGACCGGCUAUUUCCGUGCCAGCAACCGCGGUAAUACGGAGGGUGCGGGCGUUAAGCGGAAGUACUGGGCGUAAAGGGGUCGUAGGCGGUAUGUCAAGUCAAGGGUGAAAGCCCCGCGCUCAACGUGGGAACUGCCUUUGAAACUGGCAAACUGGGGUGUGUGAGAGGAUAGUGGAAUUCCAGGUGUAGGAGUGAAAUCCGUAGAGAUCUGGAGGAACAUCAGUGGCGAAGGCGACUAUCUGGCACAUAACUGACGCUGAGGAGCGAAAGCGUGGGUAGCAAACAGGAUUAGAUACCCGGGUAGUC